AGGGGCGUAGUUCAAUUGGAAGAGCACCGGUCUCCAAAACCGGGUGUUGGGAGUUCGAGUCUCUCCGCCCCUG
rnacentral:tRNA from 1 species